rnacentral:misc_RNA from 1 species
AAAGAGACCACUGUAAGCACAUAAGACUCAAUUUCUCAAACAAAUGUCAAAAUCACAAAUUUGUCAAUAAUUCAAUAAAAUUUCCAUCAUAGAUACAUUUGAUAAAAAUAGAAAUUACAUAAAAAUAGAGAUAGGAAAAAAGACUAUAAAUAUCAAUUAUAUAAUUAGGAAUCAUGGUUGAACCAAAUUAGAAAAUGAAACAAAUAAAUUGAAAUUGAGCUGUAAGGAAUAAAGAGAAGCUGCCAAAAACCAGACAUCUCUCUAAGCUUCACGUAGGGGUGUAUAUGAGACGAUUUGGGUGAGUUCAAUACAUUUUUCUAGAUCAAACCAAAAAAGUCAAUUUUGAUAGUAUUUAAAUUAA